rnacentral:rRNA from 1 species
GACGAACGCUGGCGGCGUGCUUAACACAUGCAAGUCGAACGGAAAGGCCCUGCUUUUGUGGGGUGCUCGAGUGGCGAACGGGUGAGUAACACGUGAGUAACCUGCCCUUGACUUUGGGAUAACUUCAGGAAACUGGGGCUAAUACCGGAUAGGAGCUCCUGCUGCAUGGUGGGGGUUGGAAAGUUUCGGCGGUUGGGGAUGGACUCGCGGCUUUUCAGCUUGUUGGUGGGGUAGUGGCUUACCAAGGCUUUGACGGGUAGCCGGCCUGAGAGGGUGACCGGCCGCAUUGGGACUAAGGUACGGCCCAGACUCCUACGGGAGGCAGCAGUGAUGAAUAUUGCACAAUGGGCGGAAGCCUGAUGCAGCAACGCCGCGUGCAGGAUGACGGCCUUCGGGUUGUAAACCGCUUUCGCCUGUGACGAAGCGUGAGUGACGGUAAUGGGUAAAGAAGCACCGGGUAACUACGUA